ACAAACUUGGUCAUUUAGAGGAAGUAAAAGUCGUAACAAGGUUUCCGUAGGUGAACCUGCGGAAGGAUCAUUACAGUGCUCGUCGGGACGUCACGCCCCCUUCAGGCGUCGGCGUUCCGCACCUGCCCCACCGUGUCUACCGUUUCCCUUGUUGCCUCGGCGGGACGGCCGGGCGGGAGGCUGCCCCUUCAGGGGGUGAGGCUCUCGGCCAGCGCCCGCCAGAGGGACCUUUAUGAACUCUGUGAAUCCAGUGUCGUCUGAGUCACCUAGUCGAAUACAGUUAAAACUUUCAACAACGGAUCUCUUGGUUCUGGCAUCGAUGAAGAACGCAGC
rnacentral:misc_RNA from 1 species